AUAUGCUUGUCUCAAAGAUUAAGCCAUGCAUGCUAAGUACAAAUCUUGACGAUGAAACCGCGAAUGGCUCAUUAAAUCAGGUUAUGGUUCCUUAGAUCGUACUAUCCUACUUGGAUAACUGUGGUAAUUCUAGAGCUAAUACAUGCAACUAAGCCCUGACCUCACGGAAAGGGUGCUUUUAUUAGAUCAAAACCAMUCGGACUUCGGUCCGUCCAUUUUGGUGACUCUGAAUAACCUGAGUAGAUCGCACGGUCUCGUACCGGCGMCGCAUCUUUCAAMUGUCUGCCUUAUCAACUGUCGAUGGUAGGUUAUGCGCCUACCAUGGUUGCAACGGGUAACGGGGMAUCAGGGUUCGAUUCCGGAGAGGGAGCCUGAGAAACGGCUACCACAUCCACGGAAGGCAGCAGGCGCGCAAAUUACCCACUCCCAGCACGGGGAGGUAGUGACGAAAAAUAACGAUGCGGGACUCAUCCGAGGCCCCGUGMUUGGAAUGAGUACACUUUAAAUCCUUUAACGAGGAYCCAKUGGAGGGCAAGUCUGGUGCCAGCAGCCGCGGUAACUCCAGCUCCAAUAGCGUAUAUUAAAGUUGUUGCGGUKAAAAAGCUCGUAGUUGGAUUCCUGUUGCGAGCAGGCGGUGCCGUCUAUGGCGUGCACUGCCUGGCUCGGACAAUUCAUCGGACUGUUCGGGGUGCUCUUAACCGGGUGUCCCGAGUGGCCGAUACGUUUACUUUGAACAAAUUAGAGUGCUUAAAGCAGGUGCACUGCGCCUGAAUAUCACAGCAUGGAAUGAUGGAAUAGGACCUCGGUCUUAUUUUGUUGGUUUUCUGGACCCGAGGUAAUGGUUAAUAGAGACAGACGGGGGCAUUCAUACUGCGACGCUAGAGGUGAAAUUCUUGGACCGUCGCAAGAUGAACAACUGCGAAAGCAUUUGCCAAGAAUGUUUUCAUUAAUCAAGAACGAAAGUUAGAGGUUCGAAGGCGAUCAGAUACCGCCCUAGUUCUAACCAUAAACGAUGCCAACCAGCGAUGCGCCAMAGUUACUCCAAUGACUUGGCGUGCAGCUUCCGGGAAACCAAAGUCUUUGGGUUCCGGGGGAAGUAUGGUUGCAAAGCUGAAACUUAAAGGAAUUGACGGAAGGGCACACCAGGAGUGGAGCCUGCGGCUUAAUUUGACUCAACACGGGAAACCUCACCAGGCCCGGACACUGGAAGGAUUGACAGAUUGAGAGCUCUUUCUUGAUUCGGUGGGUGGUGGUGCAUGGCCG
rnacentral:rRNA from 1 species